UGAAUUGCUCAGAGCCCUGCCGACUGCUCACACCACUUCUGGCGGACAGACGGGUUUUGUUAUGUGGCCCAAUCUCGGCUGAAAGCAGGUGUACUUGCGGCAGGUCCAUACUCGGUGUAGCUGUGUGUCUCUAAUUUCGGACCGAGUUCGUGACGUCACAGUCGGGCCACAGCUAGAAUUAAGGGGCUCAACCACCUGGGGAAAAAAAGGAAAAAGGUUUUGGUGGUUAAAUCAGUUCGGAUCCUCGAGGCUGCAGUCAUUCUUCAUUUUCAAGAGGAAUAAUUUCAGCUGAAGAAGGAAAGUCAUUUAAUUGAGUAAUUAGCGCUUGUGCAGUUCUUAGCCCGAGUCUUGCAACAUAUUAAUGUUUGUCUCAUUGAGUGAUCCUGAAGUGAUUGAAUAAUGUUUAAAUGCAGCUGUAUUUUACAGACAGCUAUAAAGAGGGCAGGAGGAAUGCCAAAGAGGGCAGGACCUGGUCAGACCUCCAGUCAGACAUGGAAGUGUCUGGACAAAGACCACCAAGGUGUAAAACAUACAGAUAUUUGUUCAGCACAUCACUAUUACUAUUCAUUGAUGCUUUGAGGCCGUAUUUAAAGUCGUAUUUUUCAUGAAACAUUGUAGAAUUUGGAAAUAUAGUCAAUAUUUUAGAUGUGUACAUUUAGUUUUGAUCAGUUUUAUUUAUUUAUUUAUUUAUUUUUUUAUUAGGAAGCGUGUUUACGAGGAAAUCAUCAGAACCAUUUAGGGCCAACCGUCAUUUCCACUCAGCCAUCUUACUGGAAUUUGUAUAGGUUAGGAAGAAGACUAAGGAUGGAGUUGUAUAGUUUUGUAGUGUGUAUUAUUUUUAAAUAUUGUUAACUUCUUUAUCAUAGCCAUGCUGAGGGAGGUGUUGAGUAAAUUAGAGAUGGUGCUGGAUCAACAAACCACUGAGAUUGCUUCAACUGCAGGAGGUCCAGGUGCAGCCUUUGGAUAUUGAGGAAGGUUUACUGCCCCUGCAAGACCUUCCUCAACUGUGUAGUCUGGAGCAAAGGAUGCAACAGAGCCCAGAUUACAAGCAAAACACUUCUUUCUUUGGUAGAGAAGGAAAACCUGGAAAACACACAGGGCAGGGUAAACUGGUUGGCGCUUAUUGACGUGGCGGAUGUGUGCGACUGGACCUGGCACAUAUUAAAGAGGGUGACUGCCAACUCCCUGGCAGAGAGCCUCAAUUGGAGGGGAGUCAAUGGAAAGACUUCUCCAACUCUGAGAGGUCGUGAUUGGAACCAUGUUCCAGUCUGAGGUCGAGGUAACGACCAACAACGUCCUGCUCACACCUGAGUCUGCUGACAGCCAACUAAGUUCAGCCUGCAGAGUUGACGGAGAACGACACUUAGCCUCCCUGCUCGACUGAGGACACCGCUCUGCCUUUCUGUUUCACCAUGUAUGAGCCCAUUUGGUAGUGAAAUUCAUGUCAAAUUUACAUAUGAUUUAAUAGUUUAUUUUAUUAGAUAUCAAAAAUCUAAAGGUGUGUGUUAUAUGAUAAACACUUUACAGUUGUUUUUGUGACUGUAAGUCAUUCCCUUCAAAUGCUAUUGAGCUUUAA